rnacentral:lncRNA from 1 species
UUUCUAGUUUGGGUACCUUGACACCAUCUACAUAUAUGGAUGGGAUGUAUGGCCCAUUCACUACAAUGGUCCACAUCUCAUAGUCUUGGGCUUGGAUGAAUAUUCUCAUCCUAGCCUUCCAGUAUGAGUAGUCGGAUCCAUUGAAGAAAGGGGGUCUUUGGGUGGACUGACCCUCAAUGUGAGAAGAUCCAAAUGGGGUUGUCAUUUUGAUCUUUUAACUCUUGAGUGGAAGAGUUUUUGGCUCUGAUACCACUUGUUGUCCAGAUAGACAACCCAAGAGGGGGGGGGGGUGAAUUGGGUUUUAAAUUAAUUUGGAUAAUUAAAACGUUAUGGAUGAUUAAUUAAAAACUAUUGCAAGUUAUUUAAUUAAUGCUAAGUGCUGUGAGUGAUGUGAGAGGAAGAAGAGAAGAGACAAUCCAAUGCAAACACAGAGUUUUAUAGUGGUUCGGAGCUACCCCUUGCUCCUACGUCCACUCCCCAAGUCUCUCUUGGGAAUUCACUAUAACCCCCUUGGAUUACAGCCGGUAGUUUUGCAAGCUCACAACCAAACUUGUUGUUUUACGAGCUCACAACGAACUCGGUCGGUUUUUCUAGGCUCACCGACUAGAACCAACCCCGAUUGUUUUCCCGGGCUCACAAUCAAACCCUUACACACGUUGGUUUUUAACUUGGCUCACCAACCAACCUUAAUCCCCUUGAUUCAAUCCUCCGAUUGAACCAAGUAAAUACAAGUUAUAGAAAGAAAGGAAAAUAAGCU